UACGUAGGGGGCAAGCGUUGUCCGGAUUUAUUGGGCGUAAAGAGCGUGUAGGCGGCUUUACAGGUCCGUUGUGAAAACUCGAGGCUCAACCUCGAGACGCCGGUGGAAACCGUAAGGCUAGAGUCCGGAAGAGGAGAGUGGAAUUCCUGGUGUAGCGGUGAAAUGCGCAGAUAUCAGGAGGAACACCCGUGGCGAAAGCGGCUCUCUGGGACGGUACUGACGCUGAGAAGCGAAAGCAUGGGGAGCGAACAGG
rnacentral:rRNA from 1 species